rnacentral:rRNA from 1 species
ACGAACGCUGGCGGCGUGCUUAACACAUGCCAGUCGCACGGAAAGGCCCUGCUUGCCGGGUACUCGAGUGGCGAACGGGUGAGUAACACGUGGGUGAUCUGCCCUGCACUUCGGGAUAAGCUUGGGAAACUGGGUCUAAUACCGGAUAGGAGCCAUCUUUAGUGUGGUGGUUGGAAAGUUUUUUCGGUGUAGGAUGAGCUCGCGGCCUAUCAGCUUGUUGGUGGGGUAAUGGCCUACCAAGGCGGCGACGGGUAGCCGGCCUGAGAGGGUGUACGGCCACAUUGGGACUGAGAUACGGCCCAGACUCCUACGGGAGGCAGCAGUGGGGAAUAUUGCACAAUGGGCGCAAGCCUGAUGCAGCGACGCCGCGUGGGGGAUGAAGGCCUUCGGGUUGUAAACUCCUUUCGCUAGGGACGAAGCUUUUUUGUGACGGUACCUAGAGAAGAAGCACCGGCUAACUACGUG